rnacentral:rRNA from 1 species
GAUGAACGCUGGCGGCGUGCCUAAUACAUGCAAGUCGAGCGAACAGACGAGGAGCUUGCUCCUCUGACGUUAGCGGCGGACGGGUGAGUAACACGUGGAUAACCUACCUAUAAGACUGGGAUAACUUCGGGAAACCGGACCUAAUACCGGAUAAUAUAUUGAACCGCAUGGUUCAAUAGUGAAAGACGGUUUUGCUGUCACUUAUAGAUGGAUCCGCGCCGCAUUAGCUAGUUGGUAAGGUAACGGCUUACCAAGGCAACGAUGCGUAGCCGACCUGAGAGGGUGAUCGGCCACACUGGAACUGAGACACGGUCCAGACUCCUACGGGAGGCAGCAGUAGGGAAUCUUCCGCAAUGGGCGAAAGCCUGACGGAGCAACGCCGCGUGAGUGAUGAAGGUCUUCGGAUCGUAAAACUCUGUUAUUAGGGAAGAACAAAUGUGUAAGUAACUAUGCACGUCUUGACGGUACCUAAUCAGAAAGCCACGGCUAACUACGUG